UACGUAGGGUGCAAGCGUUAAUCGGAAUUACUGGCGUAAAGCGUGCGCAGGCGGCUUUGCAAGACAGAUGUGAAAUCCCCGGGCUUAACCUGGAACUGCAUUUGUGACUGCAUGGCUGGAGUGCGGCAGAGGGGAUGGAAUUCCGCGUGUAGCAGUGAAAUGCGUAGAUAUGCGGAGGAACACCGAUGGCGAAGGCAAUCCCCUGGGCCUGCACUGACGCUCAUGCACGAAAGCGUGGGGAGCAAACAGG
rnacentral:rRNA from 1 species